AGAGCGAACGCUGGCGGCAGGCCUAACACAUGCAAGUCGAGCGCCCGUAGCAAUACGGGAGCGGCAGACGGGAUAGUAACACGUGGGAACGCGCCCUUCGGUUCGGAAUAACUCAGGGAAACUUGAGCUAAUACCGAAUACGCCCUUACGGGGAAAGAUUUAUUGCCGAAGGAACGGCCCGCGUCCGAUUAGCUAGUUGGUGAGGUAAUGGCUCACCAAGGCUACGAUCGGUAGCUGGUCUGAGAGGAUGACCAGCAUCACUGGGACUGAGACACGGCCCAGACUCCUACGGGAGGCAGCAGUGGGGAAUAUUGGACAAUGGGCGCAAGCCUGAUCCAGCCAUGCCGCGUGGAUGAUGAAGGCCUUAGGGGUUGUAAAGUCCUUUUAACGGGGAAGAUAAUGACGGUACCCGUAGAAUAAGCCCCGGCUAACUUCGCGCCAGCAGCCGC
rnacentral:rRNA from 1 species